UACAUUCAGAAUUUCAAUGGGGUAAUUUGGCCGGAUUUCUCAUUUCAUGCGUGAUGUGCUGCCAGCUCUAAUCGACUAUUCUCUCUCCAUUUCUCUCAUCCUUCUUCCCCAGUGAAACUCAAAUUUGUAUUCCUCCUCUUCUCUCUCAUUCUCCACUGAAACCCUAACUUUCCCUUCCUCCUUAUUGCCUUGCUUGUCAACUGAUGCUCCUUAGAGGGUAUAUGAAUUUUCCUUUAUUAAUACUUAUUUUUACAUUCAACUAUCAUGAAGUGAGCAAAGAGCCAUUGUAUAUAAGGCCUAUCUUGCUGACAGGCUCGAAACUUACAUUGUUAAUAAGCUUCAGACUUGAUCAAAAGAAAAUUCAUAAUAUCAAACCACUCCUAUCACUACAAAGAUGUAGUAACAGUGGUAAGUCCGAGUCGAUUCGUAGAGAAGCGCGAUUGGUUUCGUUAAGUUAAUUUUCUAACUAGAGCGAUAAAUGAGGGGCUUUGGUGUGGAAGAGAUAUAUGCGUGAAAUUGAAAUAAAAGGGUAAAUGUAAUCUAGGAUAGGAAUCUAUCUAAUUUCUAGAGCAAGAGGGAGUUUCCUAUGCAAUUUCUUUCAUUAGGCAUCAAUUAAUUACAUUGAAUCUAUCAA